AAGGAAAAGUCUAUUAAACAUUAAAUUAGGUUAUGAUUUUACAAAUUAAGCACCAAAACAUCAUGUUAUACAACAAAUUAGACAGAAAAAGUAGUUCAAAAUGCAGUAAUGCUAUGUAGUAAUUACUGUAUUUACGAAUUUAGCACCAAAAUAUCACGAUGUAUUGAAAACAUUGACUACAAAAAUGCGUUGGAUAAUCCAGAAUGUUGGAUAAGCGAAUGUUGGAUAAGUGAGACUCUACUGUACUUUAAACAGCCAUGGGUCAAUGCUAUGGAUUUAUAUUUUCUCUCGAUACAGUUUGAGACCGAUAUCGUUUGAGAUCUUCAGCCUUCAGUCCUGUAUUACAACACCAAAUGGUUCACCCAUUUUAGAAGCAGCCAGGCUUUGAAGCUGCAAGGCCAUUCUAUGCUAAUCAAGAUGGCCAAUUGCAACACUCACACUUGACUCAAACAGACAAGAGUUCUUUCUCUCAACCUGGACAUUAUUCCACAGAUAUAUAAACCAAUUUUUCUUGGUUUCCAACAGACCUCACAACCUCUGAGGAUUCCCUUUCUAGGGAAAAGGCAGAACUGCUUAAUGCCUUCUUUGCCUCGGUCUUCUCACAAAAAGAAAGCCAUCUUCAACCUCAGCAACAUGGAAUGGACGAAGGAUUGGGGGAAAUCCAACCCCAAAUAGGGAAACAAGUUGUCCAGGAACACCUGGCCGCUCUAAACGAAUUCAAGUCCCCAGGGCCAGAUCAGCUACAUCCAAGAGUAUUGAAGGAACUAGCGGAAGUUAUUUCAGAACCACUAGCAAUUAUCUUCGAGAGUUCUUGGAGAACGGGAGAAGUCCCAGCAGAUUGGAGGAGGGCGAAUGUGGUCCCUAUCUUCAAGAAGGGAAAAAAGAACGACCCAAACAAUUACCGUCCGGUCAGCCUCACAUCGAUACCAGGCAAGAUUCUGGAAAAGAUCAUUAAGGAAGUGGUCUGCAAACACUUAGAAAUAAAUGCGGUCAUUGCUAAUAGUCAACACGGAUUUACCAAAAACAAGUCAUGCCAGACUAAUCUGAUCUCUUUUUUUGAUAGAGUUACGAGUUGGGUCGAUACAGGGAAUGCUGUGGAUGUAGCCUACCUGGAUUUCAGUAAGGCCUUCGACAAAGUCCCCCACGACCUUCUGGCAAACAAACUAGUAAAAUUUGGGCUAGACAAAACUACGGUUAGGUGGAUCUGUAAUUGGCUAAGCGAACGAACCCAAAGGGUGCUCACCAAUGCAUUGUCUUCAUCUUGGAAAGAAGUGACAAGUGGAGUGCCACAGGGCUCCGUCCUGGGCCCGGUUCUGUUCAACAUCUUUAUUAACGACUUAGACAAAGGGUUAGAAGGCACAAUCAUCAAGUUUGCAGACGACACCAAACUGGGAGGGAUAGCUAACACUCCAGAAGACAGGAGCAGAAUUCAAAACGAUCUUGACAGACUAGAGAGAUGGGCCGAAACUAACAAAAUGAAGUUCAACAGGGACAAAUGCAAGAUACUUCACUUCGGCAGAAAAAAUGGAAAUCAAAGAUACAGAAUGGGGGACUCCUAGCUUGACAGCAGUGUGUGUGAAAAAGACCUUGGAGUCCUCGUGGACAACAAGUUAAACAUGAGCCAACAAUGUGAUGCAGCAGCUAAAAAAGCCAAUGGGAUUCUGUGAUGUCUCAUGGGCCUUGUAGUCCCGUUCCUAGUACUAUUGUGACAGACGAAGAGGAAAACAUGGGUUUUCCACCAGUUCAGCUUGAAUCGGAGCCUCUCCACCUGGAGGAUGUUUGUCCUCAGGAAGUUAACCAAACAAGCCUUGGGCAGAAUUCUCCCCCGUUUUCCCGAAAGGACAAUUAUAAUAGAGAUAGAGGAGUCAGGGAGGCUAAUCGCCGGAGUCUCAGAAUCGCUGCCAAACAACUAGCUGAUUAGGUCUGCUUCCCUUGGGAAAUUCUAAGGAGUCAUGCAUCUGGACAGAGUUGGGUUUCGCUUCUUGUUCUCCAGGGAAAGUGUUCUGUUGGCGGGAAAACAAGACCCUAUAUAGGGGUUUUGCCGCAAGGGGAACCUUGCGGAGUCAAUUGUUCAGCUUGAGGAGAGAGAUCGUGUGUGGACUUCGUAACCCCAGUUCCUUGUUUCCCAGAUCAAGUUUCCAGCCUUGCCUUGUUUCACGGACUUCCUUGGACUUUAUUCAUGCUUCGUGUUUGCCUCGUUCAAGUCUUUGAUCUAGCCAAGAAUUAAGUUUAUUUUCCAGCCUUGUUGUCAAGCUACAUUGGACUUUAAAGACUCUGUCAUUUCCCCACACUUUGCUUGGCAUAGUGUGUGUUUCGGUCAAGUGGAUUAAAACUUUGAACUCUAAUAUCUUAUAUUGGACAAUACAUUUCUGGACUAUAUUUGACCUCAUCUGAAAGGUCUGCUUCUGAACUAUAUUCUUCACUUGUUUUUAUUGACUUUAUAUAUUUCUAUAAUAAAGAUAUUAGAUAGAUUCUGGCCUCUGUGUAAGGUUAUUGGUGCUCUGCAGCCUGGGUCCUGACAGAUUCUGGCCUGCAUCAAUAGGGGAAUAGCGUCUAGAUCCAGGGAAGUCAUGCUCCCCCUCUAUUCUGCCUUGGUCAGACCACACCUGGAAUACUGUGUCCAAUUUUGGGCAUCGCAGUUGAAGGGAGAUGUUGACAAGCUGGAAAGCGUCCAGAGGAGGGUGACUAAAAUGAUUAAGGGUCUGGAGAACAAGCCCUAUGAGGAGCGGCUUAAAGAGCUGGGCAUGUUUAGCCUGCAGAAGAGAAGGCUGAGAGGAGACAUGAUAGCCAUGUACAAAUACAUGAGGGGAAGCCAUAGGAAGGAGGGAGCAAGCUUGUUUUCUGCUGCCCUGCAGACUAGGACACGGAACAAUGGCUUCAAACUACAGGAAAGGAGAUUCCACCUGAACAUCAGGAAGAACCUCCUCACUGUGAGAGCUGUUCGACAGUGGAACUCUCUCCCCCGGACUGUGGUGGAGGCUCCUUCUUUGGAGGCUUUUAAGCAAAGGCUGGAUGGCCAUCUGUCGGGGGUGCUUUGAAUGCGAUUUCCUGCUUCUUGGCAGGGGGGGGUUGGACUGGAUGGCCCAUGAGGUCUCUUCCAACUCUACUAUUCUAUGAUUCUAUGCCUACCAUAGAUGUGGGCGAAACGUCAGGAGAGAAUGCUUCUUGAACAGGCCACAAAGCCUAGAAAACUCACAGCAACCCAAUAAUGAAACAAUUGCUCUGAGAGGAAGCUUUAGUUUCUCCCAUUGACUCCUGACUGGCAUGAAGACGUCUCUCCCAGGAACCCACAACAGGUAAAUGUGAAUUUAUUUUUUAUUGAAAUUACAUCAUGUUUACAUCAUUCAAUAAAUUACUGCUAUUACCACCUGCUAUAUUAUUCAACAUUGGGUGGAGGCACAACAAAAGACUCUGAACGGAUUCCACCCUUUGCAUUAUUGUAUUGUUGUGUAUUAUUGUUGAUCUCUGUGUGUAUAGGCCAUAGUAAAUACAGCUGCUCGUUCCUUGUUGUAUAAAUAAAGCAUCUUUCCCAUUUGGAGCUGGUUUGCAGAAGUUUUUCAGUGAGAAGAAUCGCGUCCGACUCGAUAAAGAGGUAAAUUGUUGGAUGGUUCAUUGGGGUUGUUGCAUGGAUUCCAGGCAUAAGCAAACUUUGGCCCUCCAGGUUUUUGGACUUCAACUCCCACCAUUCCUAACAGCCUACCGGCUGUUAGGAAUGGUGGGAGUUGAAGUCCAAAACACCUGGAGGGCCCACGUUUGCCCAUGCCUGAUCUAUAGUGUAGGAUUAACACAGUUUGACACCACUGACUUAUGGUUCAAUGCUAUAGAAUCUUGGGAGUCAUAGUUUUACGAGAUGUUUAACCUUCUCUGCCUAAUAGUUCCGGUACUCCAACAAACUACAACUACCAGGGUUCUAUAGCUUUGAUGUAAUGAGCUAUACAAAACACAAUAAUGGUUCAAAACAUAAGUAGUACACAAUAUGUAUAUUAGAGCAUCAUAUACAUAUUACAUUCACAGAAUUAAUGCUCAGUCCUUUGGUAUAUAACCCAAAAGUAUCUAACUCAGUAUUAUAAAUCAAACAAAAUGAUAUAAGUCUCUGCAGUCCUAAAAGGAUUAGAUUGGCUUAAAGGCAAACCGAUUCAGAGUCUCUGCAGUUCUAGAAGGAUUCCUCAGGACUCCACAGGUUUUGAAACAAUAGUAAAGCCAAGGAGACAGAGUCAAUGUUGAUGUAGAUCCUGAGUAGCUGGUUAUUGCCUGGAGUAGGUGGUAAUAUAUCCGUUUACGCCGUUUACAACUGGUUCCCGGGUUUUAUCCCAGUUUCGGUAACCCUUCUUCUGAUAUGACAGUUUGGUCUUUUGGAAUUCUGAUCAUUGCUGUUGUGAUUAUGGGCAGCAUCACAAUAGGUUUGGGAGACUCCAGGCGUAAGGGCUGGUGGAAUAAGAAUGAUGACAGACACGGAGAUAGAGGUUUAGGAAACGCCAGGCUUAGGGGUCAGGGGAAUGAUGAUGAUGGUGAUGAUGAUGAUGGUGGUGGUGAUGAUGACAGACGCCAAGAUAGAGGUAUGUCUGUUAAGUAUACAUGUUGCUUUUUGUUGUAGUCAAGAUGAAGACACUUUUGUGACCUUCAAGGUUAUUUUUGAUGGUCACUGCAAGAGGUCUAUCAUUAAAAAGUGCACAGUAUAUCCCCGUGCGAUCAUGUAAUUUCCAUUGUUCACAUUUUUUACAAGCUGUCCAGAGAAGGGUGAUGAAAAUGGUAAAAGGUCUGGAAGCCAAGUCCUACGAGGAGCAGCUUAGGGAGUUGACUAUGUUAGCCUGGAGAAGAGAGCGUUAAAAGGUGACAUGAAACCAUAUUUAAAUAUUUGAAAGAAUGUCAUAUUGAGGAGAAAGCAAGCUUGAUUUCAGCUGUUUCAGAGAUCAAUACCCAGAGCAAUAUACUGCCACAAUGUGGUGGAGUCUCAUUCUCAGGAGAUCUUUAAACAGAGGCUGGAUGGCCAUCUAUUAGAAAAACUUUGUGUCUCCCUGCAUGGCAGAAUGGGGUCCUUUGGCUCUUGGGUAUUUUCCAACUUAUGAUUCCAUAUAGCAUAUGGAAGCAAAUUCCUUCUCUUUGGCCUAGGCGUAUUAUGAAUACCUCUGCAGAUCUUAAAAGUAUUUUUUAACACCAGCUAUUUAAACAUUUUAAACAGAAAUUCCAGGAAUUAAAUUUGGAACCUUUUGCACACAAUGAACUCUGGAUGCUCUCUAUAAAGAUGUGUUGCUGCCACUUUCCACGGUAUGGAUUUGUCCUUUCCUUCUAGGUCCUUCCCUUCUGUUAUGUCCUUGCUCUCAAGGAUGCUGUGAUGAUCAGUGGUACCAGUACAAAGAUGCUUGCUACUUUCCUGUGCAUACCAUUGAAAAUUGGGAACGAGCUAAGGACAGAGCAACACGUUGGAAGUGGAUUGAUAAUUCCCCCUGGGAUUACUCUGAUAAGAUGAUAGACCAUAACAACCCAUUUCAUGUCUUGGCAGUCGACAAAAUGCAUAAUGAAG